ACGCGCAUUCGUUACUUGGUUUUGAUAUGCUUGCAUCGAAGAUGAUUUUAACUAUAAAGUGAGUGGCGAACGGGUGAGUAACACGUGGGUAACCUGCCCAGAAGUGGGGGAUAACACCUGGAAACAGAUGCUAAUACCGCAUAACAAAAUUAACCGCAUGGUUGAUUUUUAAAAGAUGGCUUCGGCUAUCACUUCUGGAUGGACCCGCGGCGUAUUAGCUAGUUGGUGAGAUAAAGGCUCACCAAGGCAGUGAUACGUAGCCGACCUGAGAGGGUAAUCGGCCACAUUGGGACUGAGACACGGCCCAGACUCCUACGGGAGGCAGCAGUAGGGAAUCUUCCACAAUGGACGCAAGUCUGAUGGAGCAACGCCGCGUGAGUGAUGAAGGCUUUCGGGUCGUAAAACUCUGUUGUUGGAGAAGAACGUGUGUGAGAGUAACUGCUCAUGCAGUGACGGUAUCCAACCAGAAAGCCACGGCUAACUACGUGCCAGCAGCCGCGGUAAUACGUAGGUGGCAAGCGUUAUCCGGAUUUAUUGGGCGUAAAGCGAGCGCAGGCGGUCUUUUAAGUCUAAUGUGAAAGCCUUCGGCUUAACCGAAGAAGUGCAUUGGAAACUGGGAGACUUGAGUGCAGAAGAGGAGAGUGGAACUCCAUGUGUAGCGGUGAAAUGCGUAGAUAUAUGGAAGAACACCAGUGGCGAAGGCGGCUCUCUGGUCUGCAACUGACGCUGAGGCUCGAAAGCAUGGGUAGCGAACAGGAUUAGAUACCCUGGUAGUCCAUGCCGUAAACGAUGAAUGCUAAGUGUUGGAGGGUUUCCGCCCUUCAGUGCUGCAGCUAACGCAUUAAGCAUUCCGCCUGGGGAGUACGACCGCAAGGUUGAAACUCAAAAGAAUUGACGGGGGCCCGCACAAGCGGUGGAGCAUGUGGUUUAAUUCGAAGCUACGCGAAGAACCUUACCAGGUCUUGACAUCUUCUGCUAACCUAAGAGAUUAGGCGUUCCCUUCGGGGACGGAAUGACAGGUGGUGCAUGGUUGUCGUCAGCUCGUGUCGUGAGAUGUUGGGUUAAGUCCCG
rnacentral:rRNA from 1 species